GUGCUAACUUGCUGCUGUUAGCUCACGAGCUUCUUCGGACUCAGUCUCAAACACGUUCAUAUCUUCCUACCUCUCGUUGGUGUCCCUGGUCGUCGGUGGCCGUCCGAUGGGCUGCCGUCACCCGUGCCACGGCCGCUCACCGCUGCCGAGCGGCACGGCCCUUCUCUGUUCCGUUGCGCCGGCCUUUUGACCAAAGGAGCUACGUACACAGCGGCGUGACACGACGACGACCGACACGCUGGACACGACGCAGAUCUAGCCUGCCGCUUUUGUGCUCAAGUUAACGAAUCCUCCGUUCAAAACUAGUCGCGAAGGAAUAGUUCUCACAGGUCUUAGGUACUCAAUAUAGUACAGCAAUACACCGACCAAACAUAGUACACACAAACAACACUGAGUCGGGAAGAGACAAAAAGAAGUAAAGCCUAACCCC
rnacentral:rRNA from 1 species